rnacentral:SRP_RNA from 1 species
GCUGGGUGUGGUGGCUCAUGCCUGUAAUCCCAGCACUUUGGGAGGCUGAGGCAGGUGGAUCGCCUGAGGUCAGGAGUUCCAGACCAGCCUGGCCAACAUGGCGAAACCCUGUCUCUA